rnacentral:ncRNA from 1 species
AAUUUCCUUAUGUUGGGGCCCCAACUUGCUUUGUCUGUAGAAUUUCUCGUUGAAUUUCCUUAUGUUGGGGCCCCAACCCCAACUUGCUUUGUCUGUAGAAUUUCUCGUUGAAUUUCCUUAUGUUGGGGCCCCAACCCCAACUUGCUUUGUCUGUAGAAUUUCUCGUUGA